CUUGGUCAUUUAGAGGAAGUAAAAGUCGUAACAAGGUCUCCGUUGGUGAACCAGCGGAGGGGUCAUUACCGAGUUUACAACUCCCAAACCCCUGUGAACAUACCUUUAUGUUGCCUCGGCGGAUCAGCCCGCGCCCCGUAAAACGGGACGGCCCGCCGCAGGAACCACAAAACUCUGAUUUUAGUGUAACUUCUGAGUCUAAAAAACAAAUAAAUCAAAACUUUCAACAACGGAUCUCUUGGUUCUGGCAUCGAUGAAGAACGCAGCGAAAUGCGAUAAGUAAUGUGAAUUGCAGAAUUCAGUGAAUCAUCGAAUCUUUGAACGCACAUUGCGCCCGCCAGUAUUCUGGCGGGCAUGCCUGUUCGAGCGUCAUUUCAACCAUCAAGCCCCCGGCUUGUGUUGGGGACCUGCGGCUGCCGCAGGCCCUGAAAUGCAGUGGCGGGCUCGCUGUCACUCCGAGCGUAGUAGUUACAUCUCGCUCUGGGCGUGCUGCGGGUUCCGGCCGUUAAAAGCCUUAUUUACCCAAGGUUGACCUCGGAUCAGGUAGGAAGACCCGCUGAACUUAAGCAUAUCAAUAAGCGGAGGA
rnacentral:misc_RNA from 1 species